rnacentral:rRNA from 1 species
UACGGGGGGAGCAAGCGUUGUUCGGAUUUACUGGGCGUAAAGGGCGCGUAGGCGGUCAGCACAAGUCAGUUGUGAAAUCUCCGGGCUUAACUCGGAAAGGUCAACUGAUACUGUGCGACUAGAGUGCGGAAGGGGCAACUGGAAUUCUCGGUGUAGCGGUGAAAUGCGUAGAUAUCAAGAGGAACACCUGAGGCGAAGGCGGGUUGCUAGGCUGACACUGACGCUGAGUGCGCGAAAGCCAGGGGAGCAAACGGG